AUACGUAGGGGGCGAGCGUUGUCCGGAAUGAUUGGGUUUAAAGGGUGCGUAGGCGGAUGAUUAAGCGUGAGGUGAAAUGCCACUGCUCAACAGUGGAACUGCCUCGCGAACUGGUUGUCUUGAAUGCUCCUGCCGUGGGAGGAAUGUGUGGUGUAGCGGUGAAAUGCAUAGAGAUCACACAGAACACCGAUUGCGAAGGCAUCUCACGAAGGGGUGAUUGACGCUGAGGCACGAAAGCGUGGGGAUCAAACAGGAUUAGAUACCCUGGUAGUCCACGCAGUAAACGAUGAUAACUAACAGCUGGGUCGUAGUGAUUCAGUGGCCAAGCGAAAGCGAUAAGUUAUCCACCUGGGGAGUACGACCGCAAGGUUGAAACUCAAAGGAAUUGACGGGG
rnacentral:rRNA from 1 species